rnacentral:tRNA from 1 species
GGUCCCAUCGUCUAGCGGCCAGGACACGGCCCUCUCAAGGCUGAAACACGGGUUCGAUCCCCGUUGGGAUCACCA